rnacentral:tRNA from 2 species
GCCGCCUUAGCUCAGUCGGUCAGAGCGACGCACUCGUAAUGCGUAGGUCAUCGGUUCGAUUCCGAUAGGCGGCUCCA